AUUGAACGCUGGCGGCAUGCCUUACACAUGCAAGUCGAACGGUAACGCGGGGCAACCUGGCGACAAGCGGCGAACGGGUGAGUAAUGCAUCGGAACGUGCCCAGUAGUGGGGGAUAGCCCGGCGAAAGCCGGAUUAAUACCGCAUACGACCUACGGGUGAAAGCGGGGGAUCGCAAGACCUCGCGCUAUUGGAGCGGCCGAUGUCAGAUUAGGUAGUUGGUGGGGUAAAGGCCUACCAAGCCUACGAUCUGUAGCUGGUCUGAGAGGACGACCAGCCACGCUGGGACUGAGACACGGCACAGACUCCUACGGGAGGCAGCAGUGGGGAAUUUUGGACAAUGGGGGGAACCCUGAUCCAGCCAUGCCGCGUGCGGGAAGAAGGCCUUCGGGUUGUAAACCGCUUUUGUCGGGGAAGAAAUCUUCUGGGCUAAUACCUCGGGAGGAUGACGGUACCCGAAGAAUAAGCACCGGCUAACUACGUGCCAGCCGCCGCAGUAAUAC
rnacentral:rRNA from 1 species